CCCGCUCAGAAACUCAAUGAAUUGACGGGGCCCGCACAAGCGGAGGAGCAUGUGGUUUAAUUCGAUGAUACGCGAGGAACCUUACCUGGGCUCGAACGUAAGAUGACUGUAGGUGAAAGCUUACAUCUCUUCGGAGCAUUUUACGAGGUGCUGCAUGGUUGUCGUCAGCUCGUGCCGUGAGGUGUCGGGUUAAGUCCCAUAACGAGCGCAACCCCUACCUUUAGUUGCCAUCAGGUUAAGCUGGGGACUCUAAAGGAACUGCCUACGCAAGUAGUGAGGAAGGCGGGGAUGACGUCAAAUCAGCACGGCCCUUACGUCCAGGGCUACACACGUGCUACAAUGGCCGAUACAGAGGGCAGCUACCUGGUGACAGGAUGCAAAUCUCCAAAGUCGGUCUCAGUUCGGAUCGGAGUCUGCAACCCGACUCCGUGAAGUUGGAUUCGCUAGUAAUCGCGCAUCAGCCAUGGCGCGGUGAAUACGUUCCCGGGCCUU
rnacentral:rRNA from 1 species